UCUGUUGUGGUUUUCUAUGAAGUGGCAACAUGCAAUUAUAGUCAUGGCUGAUAACCUUUAUUAUUCAAAAUUCUGGUCUUACUGCCAGGUAUUGAAAUUGAUAUGGGUUUGUGAUUAGUAGGAGCUAAUGCCUUUUUAAUGAGUUUGAUGUCUGAUAGGAAUGCACUGCUGCUCCAACAGAAGGUUGACUAGCUUGGAUGUUCAAAAGUGUUUGUGUUGUAGGAAAUUAGCAACCUGUCGCAGCUUCAAAUUAGUUUCUUUCUCACAUACAAAAAAAAUGUAAAUGUCUUACACUUGAAGCAGAGAUAAUAAUACAAAUAGGGAUGUUCA